AUUGAACGCUGGCGGCAUGCUUUACACAUGCAAGUCGAACGGUAACAGGCCUUCGGGUGCUGACGAGUGGCGAACGGGUGAGUAAUGCAUCGGAACGUGCCCAGAGGUGGGGGAUAACGCAGCGAAAGCUGUGCUAAUACCGCAGGUGAUCUGAGGAUGAAAGCGGGGGACCAGGCAGCAAUGUUUGGCCUCGCGCCUUUGGAGCGGCCGAUGUCAGAUUAGGUAGUUGGUGGGGUAAAGGCCUACCAAGCCGACGAUCUGUAGCUGGUCUGAGAGGACGACCAGCCACACUGGGACUGAGACACGGCCCAGACUCCUACGGGAGGCAGCAGUGGGGAAUUUUGGACAAUGGGCGCAAGCCUGAUCCAGCAAUGCCGCGUGCGGGAAGAAGGCCUUCGGGUUGUAAACCGCUUUUGUACGGAACGAAAAGGCUCUGGCUAAUACCUGGGGCUGAUGACGGUACCGUAAGAAUAAGCACCGGCUAACUACGUG
rnacentral:rRNA from 1 species